UACGUAGGGGGCUAGCGUUGUCCGGAAUCAUUGGGCGUAAAGAGCGUGUAGGCGGCCCGGUAAGUCCGCUGUAAAAGUCAAAGGCUCAACCUUUGAAUGUCAGUGGAUACUGCCGGGCUAGAGUCCGGAAGAGGCGAGUGGAACUCCUGGUGUAGCGGUGGAAUGCGCAGAUAUCGGGAGGAACACCCGUGGCGAAAGCGGCUCUCUGGGACGGUACUGACGCUGAGACGCGAAAGCGUGGGGAGCGAACAGG
rnacentral:rRNA from 1 species